AUACUUACCAGUCUGGGGUGAUGAUACUAUGAUCAUGAAGGUGAUUUUUCCAGGAUGAGGCUUAUCCAUUGUACUCCAGAUGCGCUGCCCACUGUGAUUUCUCCAAAUAUGGGAAACUCAAUUGCAUAAUUUGUGGUAGUGGGGGACUGCCUUUUUGCUCUCCCCAC